GUUGCUGGAAUUACAAAAGAGAGGGACGCAGGAGACAAAAAUAAAAGAAAAGACGGCAGAAGACGGAGAUUCACGUGCCAAAACUUUAAUCACGUUCCGUCAAUAAAUCGGGUGAUGUCUUCCAUGAAUUUAUCUUGCUUUUCUUUCAUUAAUAUGUUUAGCUAAAUUUAUUUUAGGGCGAAUAAUGUAACUGAUUUGGGAC
rnacentral:lncRNA from 1 species